UUCCAGAGAUAUCACUUCUUGUCUCAGUCAGUCAGCUCACAGAGGUCCCGGUCAGUCCCCAGGUCUCAGUCAGUCGGUUCACAGAGGUCCCGGUCAGUCCCCAGGUCUCAGUCAGUCAGCUCACAGAGGUCCCGGUCAGUCCCCAGGUCUCAGUCAGUCAGCUCACAGAGGUCCCGGUCAGUCCCCAGGUCUCAGUCAGUCAGCUCACAGAGGUCCCGGUCAGUCCCCAGGUCUCUCUCUAGUCUGUCUCAGUCAGUCUCUAUUUCACACUCUUCCAAAAUGAAAAAGAGCUUUACUGUGAUAAAAGGGAUACCAACAAAUUUAACUUUCCAUAAAAGCAUUUCAAGAAUAUAAACUGAAAA